UUGUAAUCGGUGAUUCACUAAACUCUGCAUUGUGGAGAAUUGCUAAAUUUAGUUAAAAUAGCUCAUCUGAAAGAAUCCAGCUAAAGCCACAGCUUCAUUAGUCAAAUCUCAAUUUUGUUAUUCAUUUUUUGUUUUUUGCUAUUUAACAUGUGAUGAAUAAACACUGGAGAUUCUCUUUGCCAAAUGUCAUGGUCCAAAGGAUUACCGUUGGUACAAUUUAAUCAAUCAGCAAGCUACCGUCUUUAUAUAAGGGUUCCUCAAAAAUCCAUAUCACAAGUUUGCAAACCAGAGGAAUUAUUCAAUGCUUUUUGUACUGAAGUGGGCAGGAUAUAGAGUGGCCAUAGCGAAUGUUGCGUGCAUGUUAUCCCUAAUAUCGUUUUGGAAUAACAAUAACAUUUUUGAAAAACAUCAGUAUCCAUGUGCUCUUAGGCCUGCUUCACGCUCAACUUUAAAUAAAUAUUUAAUUUGUUAACUUUCAAAACGUCCAUCUAUACUUUCUGCUUUCCUCUGCGAUUUAAUACUCCCACUCAAAUUAACAAUUAUUCUUUAGUGAUUAUCUAUGUAUCUUUUCAAGUGUCAUAUGGAUUUUAAAUGCAUUUUCUGAAUAUGUGUUUUCAGUAGCAACGUUAGCAGUCUCCUCCUGAAGGUGUGAAAGAGAUAAAAUUUAAGCAUUUUCCCAACCACAUUAAUGGGCUCCUUGAAGUGGUCUGGGUGCAGUGUCCCUAUUGCACUUAGUGCUGAAAUGUUAAACAUUGCAGUUCCAGAGAAACUGCAAUGUUUACAUUGAAGCACUAAGUCUGCCCUCCUACCAGACAGCCACUGGAGGCGCUUCCUGGAUCCUCCCUCCCUCCUCCCUCAGCAUCAUUUUCACAAUGACACAAAUAACCAAACAUUUACUAUGUUCUUUAGUUUUCUCAUUUUACCUUAAGUCUUCGACCUCCUCAUAACCAAAGUCCAACUGCUCGUUUUACUGCUCAUUUUAUGAACAUUUGUUUCUAGACAUUCAUGAGAUAAUUCUAGCCCCACCUUAAACUCAUCAUUUAGGAUUCAUCUAACCCUACUUCAUCUACCAAAACACAGAGUCUCUUUUUAACAAUAACCCUUCCCAUCUAAGGCCUCAAUUUAAU